GGGGCCAUAGCUCAGUGGUAGAGCAGCUGCUUUCCAUUCAGGAGGUCCCAGGUUCAAUCCCCAGCAUUGGAUGUUCCU